CAGUGUUCCUUGUGUAAUGGAAACUUUUAUUCCGCUCCUUGUGGCAGUAAAAGAAUUGCAAAGAAAAUUACUCCAGUCAACUGAGACAUGCUGUUUCCACGUCCUCCUUCCUUCCAGAUGAUAUCUGUCAGGAUAUGGAUUUAGAAGUCAGCAGUCUGGAAGUGAAAUCCCUUAGAACUGAAUGUGGAAAUGACCAGUGCAAAGGCUAAAACCUCUUAAGGGCAAGGAACACAAAUAGGAGGGAAAAAAAUAAGGCAAUCUUUUCAGACAAAGGAACAGCCUUUUGUGGGGAAAGAACAAAGGAAAAAAACAGAAGAAAGUGAUAAAGAGGACAUUUGGAACACUCAACAGAGAGAUGAGGAAGCAGUGUGAGCAACUUGGCAGAGUGUAAAAAAAGGAAAGAGAGGAUUUCAGUGCCUAUGGAAAUACUAACUUUAUUAUGAAACAGAAAAGGAAGGAAAAGCAAUAGCUGCAUUGCACUCACAAACAUUAUUGCAAUGGACUGUGAUCAGAACCAGCCUGGUAAAUCUGCACUACCCAGGUAGCCAGAAGAACAGAGAUUUCUGCUAAAAUUUAUCCCCAAAAGUCAUGAUUUUUUUUUCUUUUUUCUGCAGAGGGCUGUUUUAGAACAAUGAAUGUGCCAGUGUGUUCAAUGCAGUACAGCAAAAAUACCAGAGUUACAAUGAUGGAUGUGUGUAUAUGAAAGCAAGCAAUUUUUUGAGUAUUAUUCUUUUCUAUAAAAGCAAGAUAAAUGCUGACAUUUAAAUUGCCUUGAAAAAGAC
rnacentral:lncRNA from 1 species